ensembl:lncRNA
AUGUCUAUUGUGGAAGAAAUUUUAUUAAUAUGACAGGCCCCUCCCACGACAGUUUGAUUGACAGUAGCGUUUCAGCACAGACUGGACUGGCGUUUUACCUUAGACCCACCCUGAGUGAGCUGUCAUCAGUCCACCAUUGUUUGACCGCCGGAGCAGAUGUAGACAAGAAUGUCUUCUAAGCGAUUGAGGUGUUCUACUGUUGGAUGUAAUAAUGAACAUAGCAGUCGUCAUUUUCUCCUGACAUUUGAGCUGCUGAAGACACAGUGGAUUACAUUUUGUGCCCCCGAUCUACCUAAAGACAUCUAUCUUUGCGUGAAUCAAUCGUGAUCCUGCUUCACCAACAGAAAAAGCAGCCCAAAUGGCUCUGAUGGCUCUUGAAUGCACCUUUCCUAAAGCUCCAGAAAACACCUGAUUCUGUUGAAGAAAACUGUCAAAGGUUUUGGAUUGGGAAAAGCAGUUACCAGUGUGCAUGAGGUGAUUUCUCAGUAACAGGAAUAUCUGGCAACACUGGCAGAACUUAAAGUGAUAGUAAUCAAAAGAGCCCACAGACAUGUUAUUGCUGACAGGAUACCACAUUCGAGUAAACAGAGUUCCUCACUCUCUGACCAGGAUACAGGAGAGGAAGACCUGGGGCCUGAUGUAUAAACGUUGCGUACGCACAAAAUGGGCAUAGAAAUAUGCAUACGCAUUUUUCCACGCACAUAUCGGGAUUCAUAAAAAAU